rnacentral:rRNA from 1 species
UACGGAGGGUGCAAGCGUUAUCCGGAUUCACUGGGUUUAAAGGGUGCGUAGGCGGGCAGGUAAGUCAGAGGUGAAAUCUCCGGGCUUAACCCGGAAACUGCCUUUGAUACUAUCUGUCUUGAAUAUGGUGGAGGUAAGCAGAAUAUGUCAUGUAGCGGUGAAAUGCUUAGAUAUGACAUAGAACACCCAUUGCGAAGGCAGCUUACUACGCCUAUAUUGACGCUGAGGCACGAAAGCGUGGGGAUCAAACAGG